CUUCAUUGAUGACCUCUCGUGCCAUUGUGUCUGGGUCAUAGAAGCCCUGUAAUGGAACUUUUAAGGGUUAGAUUAAGGAA
rnacentral:snoRNA from 1 species